rnacentral:rRNA from 1 species
AGAGUUUGAUCCUGGCUCAGGACGAACGCUGGCGGCGUGCUUAACACAUGCAAGUCGAACGGUAAGGCCCUUCGGGGUACACGAGUGGCGAACGGGUGGGUAACACGUGGGUAAUCUGCCCUGCACAUCGGGAUAAGCCUGGGAAACUGGGUCUAAUACCGAAUAGGACCACAGGACACAUGUCCUGUGGUGGAAAGCUUUUGCGGUGUGGGAUGGGCCCGCGGCCUAUCAGCUUGUUGGUGGGGUGAUGGCCUACCAAGGCGACGACGGGUAGCCGGCCUGAGAGGGUGUCCGGCCACACUGGGACUGAGAUACGGCCCAGACUCCUACGGGAGGCAGCAGUGGGGAAUAUUGCACAAUGGGCGAAAGCCUGAUGCAGCGACGCCGCGUGGGGGAUGACGGCCUUCGGGUUGUAAACCUCUUUCACCAUCGACGAAGGUCCGGGUUUUCUCGGGCUGACGGUAGGUGGAGAAGAAGCACCGGCCAACUACGUGCCAGCAGCCGCGGUAAUACGUAGGGUGCGAGCGUUGUCCGGAAUUACUGGGCGUAAAGAGCUCGUAGGUGGUUUGUCGCGUUGUUCGUGAAAUCUCACGGCUUAACUGUGAGCGUGCGGGCGAUACGGGCAGACUUGAGUACUGCAGGGGAGACUGGAAUUCCUGGUGUAGCGGUGGAAUGCGCAGAUAUCAGGAGGAACACCGGUGGCGAAGGCGGGUCUCUGGGCAGUAACUGACGCUGAGGAGCGAAAGCGUGGGGAGCGAACAGGAUUAGAUACCCUGGUAGUCC